rnacentral:rRNA from 1 species
CCUACGGGAGGCAGCAGUGAGGAAUAUUGGUCAAUGGUCGGGAGACUGAACCAGCCAAGCCGCGUGAGGGAUGAAGGUACAGAGUAUCGUAAACCUCUUUUGUCAGGGAACAAAGGCGGGGACGUGUCCCCGGAUGAGUGUACCUGAAGAAAAAGCAUCGGCUAACUCCGUGCCAGCAGCCGCGGUAAUACGGAGGAUGCGAGCGUUAUCCGGAUUUAUUGGGUUUAACGGGUGCGUAGGCGGUCUGUUAAGUCAGCGGGAAAAGCCCGGGGCCCAACCCCGGCCCGCCGGUGAAACUGGCAGUCUCGAGUUGGAGAGAAGUAUGCGGAAUGCGCGGUGUAGCGGUGAAAUGCAUAGAUAUCGCGAAGAACUCCGAUUGCGAAGGCAGCAUGCCGGCUCCACACUGACGCUGAGGCACGAAAGCGUGGGUAUCGAACAGGAUUAGAUACCCGAGUAGUC